AUUGAACGCUGGCGGCAGGCCUAACACAUGCAAGUCGAGCGGCAGCGGGACCUUCGGGUUGCCGGCGAGCGGCGGACGGGUGAGUAAUGCCUAGGAAUCUGCCUGUUAGUGGGGGAUAACGCGGGGAAACUCGCGCUAAUACCGCAUACGUCCUACGGGAGAAAGCGGGGGCUCUUCGGACCUCGCGCUAACAGAUGAGCCUAGGUCGGAUUAGCUAGUUGGUGGGGUAAUGGCUCACCAAGGCGACGAUCCGUAACUGGUCUGAGAGGAUGAUCAGUCACACUGGAACUGAGACACGGUCCAGACUCCUACGGGAGGCAGCAGUGGGGAAUAUUGGACAAUGGGCGAAAGCCUGAUCCAGCCAUGCCGCGUGUGUGAAGAAGGUCUUCGGAUUGUAGAGCACUUUAAGUCGGGAGGAAGGGCUGUAGGUUAAUACCCUGCGGUUUUGACGUUACCGACAGAAUAAGCACCGGCUAACUUCGUGCCAGCAGCCGCGGUAA
rnacentral:rRNA from 1 species